ensembl:lncRNA
GGAUAAAGACCCAUAUUGUGCCUUUCUGAUCCCAAGGCUAUCCCCCUCCCCCCUUCCAUUCUUUGGUUUACUCAGUAGAGCUACCCCGAUUCACAUAAGCUAACAAUCUGUUUGAGAAGAAACAAUUAGGCCCAUAGAAGUUGUUGACAUCUUAUUUUCAUUUUUUUCAAUGGCAUAAUGGGUACUCCAGUCCAGCUUGUCCUUUUAUGUUCUCCAUCCCAGGCAUUCCUCCCAGAUGCAAAGUCCCUGUGAGGUUGGGGACAGAACAGUGGCUCUCCCAAACAUUUUGGACCAAGAGACUGCUAGUGACACUUAGCAUUUCUCACAGAACAUGAUGUGGCUGCUGAGCAGGCUAUUAAUUGAAAACACUGCUCAAACCAGGCAAGCUCCCCAGGCCAGCUCAGCUGUGGGCCAGUUCCCGUGCCUUCAGAGCCCGUAGUGCUGGCAAUUGCUGGGACCAGCUGUAGGGGUCGGGGAGGAUGGAGUGUGGUUGCAGGAGGCUACAAGAACAGCUCGGGUGUCUUUUCCCGGAAGUUGGCUGCACACUCUCUGCUUCUUCUUUCUCUGUGGUCGUUUGGAGUUCAGCUUAAAUCAGAUCCGGAAAACAGCAUCCUGCUGCAGAAGAGCCAAUGGUCCUAGAAACAGACUCCUACUAUAAAAAAUCCUACGGGAGCCAGAUGCCCCCGACCCUGACAGAGAUUGAUCAAGCGGCUGGUGGUAUCACCUUUCACUUUGCUUUGGCAAGGGGGGAAGCACCGAAUGAUGGAAAGUUUUCAGGUGAUACCUUCAGAAAGUAUUUAAGGGGGUUUUUUUGUUUAAGUGCUGCAGACAGGAAAGAGUCAUUCUACACCACACAGUGAAGGCACAGAGGCAGAAAGAGAGGAGGACGGUGGGUAGCAAGGAGCAGUCAUUCCUGAGGAGCAGCCAGCCCUUCCUGACUGCAGCACGCUGCAGAUGUGUGCUUUGUGAAAGGCUGGAUAAGUUCAUCGCCACGGCAAGGAAAACUAUUCAGUGUGCCUCCUGGAGGUGUGGGAGGCUCUGCGACAAGCCUCCCGGGACAGGGGGAAUCUUUGGCCAGAGAACCUCUUUGGAGAAAACAGAGAGAGAUGCUCGGCUGUGCCACCACCAGCCUUUGCAGAAGCGGUGCGCCAAGCCCUGCUGCGGGGUCCUUCUGCAGCGGAGGACGUGUGCCGCUGGUCGAAAUCCUCAGACCAAAGCAAACAGUGCCACAGAAAAAUGCUGUAAGACAACCCAGUUUUGAGGGAAGUGCCCCUGAUAACUUCUCAGCUCCAGAGAGAAGCAGUGGAGGUUGGGGCCACUGAGUCUCCAUGGAAGUCAGAGGGUAAGGUUUGUUUAACUAAUUAGUGGUAAUCCUGAAUAACUCAGUGGGCUUUAAUUUAUGGGGUUUCCACCAGGUUCUGUGUUCAGCUCCUCACGGAGCGCCUGGAUCCCUGGGUUUUGUCACACAUGGAGUCCUGGAGACUGCCAUGGCCUGGAGAUCUGAGGCGGCCAUCUAGGGCACAGGGACAUGGCUUUAGGUCAAGUGCCCUCCAGUCCUCUGUAUCUGGUGGUGGGCAAGGAUCAUCCCUGGCUGUUGUCCCAAAGGUACUCUUGGGGAUCCACAAUGCAGACUAGGAGAUGGGCAGGAUGGACACCCUUGUCCAUCCAGUCUGAGGAGGCUGACUGUAUGUGGGACCU